GAUGAUAGAUUUACCAUCGUUAAUAAUGAUAAUUAAUGAUAAGAUUAUUUUCAUUUGAUUUUUAGUGAUAACAAACUGACCAUUAGGGAUGGUAAUUAGCCAUAACUAAUAGUCUUUUUUCUUAUAGUGUUCCCACUAAGGAUGGCAAUAGAUCGGAUUUGUGUCAGAUCGACCAAUGCUCGUACCCACUCCGUUAUAGAAAAAUCUAUAUCCAUACCUAUCCCGUACCCAUCUCAGGCUGGGUCAGAUUGGGUAGAAUAAAGAUGGAGAUUAAAUUAGGUUGGAUCAGAUAUACCCAUCUUGCCUCGGGUCAGAUCGGAUUGGGUCAGGCUUAAACCUCAAGAAUCAAAUCCCCCUUUAAAAAAAUCCCAUCGAAACUUAAGAAACCUCUUUGAUCUCUCAUAGGUGCUCUCCUUUCCUAUAGAUCUCGAAAAAAAAGAGAAUGAAAUGAAAAGAAAAAAAGAAACGAAAAGAAAAAAAAAUGACAAUCUAUGUGGGAAAAGUCUUGCCUCUUAAUUUUUUUCACUUUUCCUUUAUUUUUCUUGAUUUUCUCUUCAUCUUCUCUCAAUUUUCUCCCUAUUUUUUAUCCAUCCUCAAGAGUCCCAAUCAAGUGGGAGGUUAGAGUGGCCGAAUAAAAAAAAAAUGUUAAAAGGGACUUAAGAAAAACCCCUCCGAUCUCCCAUUGGUGCUCUCUUUUCCAC
rnacentral:lncRNA from 1 species